rnacentral:tRNA from 1 species
GGGGAUAUAGCUCAGUUUGUAGAGUGCUUGCCUUGUACGCACAAGGCCUUGAGUUUAAUCCCCAGUACCACCA